rnacentral:rRNA from 1 species
AGUGAACGCUGGCGGUAGGCCUAACACAUGCAAGUCGAACGGCAGCACAGUAAGGGCUUGCUCUUACGGGUGGCGAGUGGCGGACGGGUGAGGAAUACAUCGGAAUCUACUUUUUCGUGGGGGAUAACGUAGGGAAACUUACGCUAAUACCGCAUACGACCUACGGGUGAAAGCAGGGGAUCUUCGGACCUUGCGCGAUUGAAUGAGCCGAUGUCGGAUUAGCUAGUUGGCGGGGUAAAGGCCCACCAAGGCGACGAUCCGUAGCUGGUCUGAGAGGAUGAUCAGCCACACUGGAACUGAGACACGGUCCAGACUCCUACGGGAGGCAGCAGUGGGGAAUAUUGGACAAUGGGCGCAAGCCUGAUCCAACCAUACCGCGUGGGUGAAGAAGGCCUUCGGGUUGUAAAGCCCUUUUGUUGGGAAAGAAAAGCAGCAGGUUAAUACCCCGCUGUUCUGACGGUACCCAAAGAAUAAGUACCGGCUAACUUCGUG